AGAGUUUGAUCAUGGCUCAGAUUGAACGCUGGCGGCAUGCCUUACACAUGCAAGUCGAACGGCAGCAUAGGAGCUUGCUCCUGAUGGCGAGUGGCGAACGGGUGAGUAAUAUAUCGGAACGUGCCCUAGAGUGGGGGAUAACUAGUCGAAAGACUAGCUAAUACCGCAUACGAUCUACGGAUGAAAGUGGGGGAUCGCAAGACCUCAUGCUCCUGGAGCGGCCGAUAUCUGAUUAGCUAGUUGGUGGGGUAAAAGCCUACCAAGGCAACGAUCAGUAGCUGGUCUGAGAGGACAACCAGCCACACUGGGACUGAGACACGGCCCAGACUCCUACGGGAGGCAGCAGUGGGGAAUUUUGGACAAUGGGGGCAACCCUGAUCCAGCAAUGCCGCGUGAGUGAAGAAGGCCUUCGGGUUGUAAAGCUCUUUUGUCAGGGAAGAAACGGUGGUAGCGAAUAACUACUACUAAUGACGGUACCUGAAGAAUAAGCACCGGCUAACUACGUGCCAGCAGCCGCGGUAAU
rnacentral:rRNA from 1 species